UACGUAGGGACCAAGCGUUGUUCGGAUUUACUGGGCGUAAAGGGCGCGUAGGCGGCGUGUUAAGUCAGCUGUGAAAUCUCCAAGCUUAACUUGGAACGGUCAGCUGAUACUGAUGUGCUAGAGUGCAGAAAGGGCAAUGGAAUUCUUGGUGUAGCGGUGAAAUGCGUAGAUAUCAAGAGGAACACCUGAGGCGAAGGCGGGUCUCUGGGCCGAUAUUGACGCUGAGGAGCGAAAGCGUGGGGAGCGAACAGG
rnacentral:rRNA from 1 species